CCCAGACUCCUACGGGAGGCAGCAGUGGGGAAUAUUGCACAAUGGGGGGAAACCCUGAUGCAGCGACGCCGCGUGAGUGAAGAAGUAUUUCGGUAUGUAAAGCUCUAUCAGCAGGGAAGAUAAUGACGGUACCUGACUAAGAAGCCCCGGCUAACUACGUGCCAGCAGCCGCGGUAAUACGUAGGGGGCAAGCGUUAUCCGGAUUUACUGGGUGUAAAGGGUGCGCAGGUGGCAGGGCAAGUCAGAUGUGAAAGCCCGGGGCUCAACCCCGGUAUUGCAUUUGAAACUGUCCGGCUAGAGUGCAGGAGAGGUAAGCGGAAUUCCUAGUGUAGCGGUGAAAUGCGUAGAUAUUAGGAGGAACACCAGUGGCGAAGGCGGCUUACUGGACUGUAACUGACGUUGAGGCUCGAAAGCGUGGGGAGCAAACAGGAUUAGAUACCCCGGUA
rnacentral:rRNA from 1 species